UCGAUUAUUAAACCUAAGUAAUGCGCCGUCCCCUCACUCACGCGGCCGAUCCCAUUUUGCGCCAAAACCACCGCCGAUAUCCUCACCUCUCUCGAGCCUCUCCCUCUGGCGACCCUCAUCUCCCCAAACCCAACGUCGACCUCUCUUCUCCGUUGGGCCACAGCCGCCGAGCCACGGCCACUGGCUUCUCCUCCUUACACGAGCACCUCCUCGCGGUUUCCUCACCCAAUCGCCGCCUGCCCUCAGCACGAGAGAUCGCCGCUGCCGUGGUUCGCCCUCAUCCGAUCGCCGCUCUUCAUCCGCCGGUCUCUCCUCCUCCGCCGGACUCUCUCCUUCCCUUGCCCUCACACGAGCACCACAGCCACCUCAGCACUCGAUUGUGACGGUGUUGCUCAUCCCGGCGUCAGCCGAACCCUAGGUUGGGGGUGAACGUCCAGCCGGUUGCUCCUUCCCCCCUCAUGCCUUGAUGUCAAAACGCCACCGUCGAUCUCAUCUUCGCUGGUCUCCACAGCUGCUGGACCUAGGUUCCAGCCGGAGAGGAAGUUGUGAACACAAGCCUUGCUUUGGCCAUGGGUUUUUGCAGCCUUGCUCGGGCCACAGUAGCUUCACCAACAGCUAGUCCUGAUGGGUAUCCCAGCUGAUCAUCAUGGGUGCCACCGUAGAGGAAGCUCGAUGUUUGAUUUAGGUAACAGGUAGAUGAGUCACGGAUGCUUGGAGAGAUGUCGACUGCCAGUCCUGUGUCCUGCGUUAUAUCGGUUUUAUCUCCGCUUUACUUGUAUUUUUAGUAUACAACAGUUUUAAUAUUGUAUCAACUGGUCUGUGUUUGGAGUUUGAUUCAUGGUGUUUUGCUUUCGUGAUCUUGUGGUUGUGUAAGCCUAAUUAGCUAGUAAACUUUACUUGUGGAUUGUGGGUUU